ACUCCUACGGGAGGCAGCAGUGGGGAAUAUUGCACAAUGGGCGCAAGCCUGAUGCAGCCAUGCCGCGUGUAUGAAGAAGGCCUUCGGGUUGUAAAGUACUUUCAGCAGUGAGGAAGGCGGAGUCGUUAAUAGCGGCCUCGUUUGACGUUAGCUGCAGAAGAAGCACCGGCUAACUCCGUGCCAGCAGCCGCGGUAAUACGGAGGGUGCGAGCGUUAAUCGGAAUUACUGGGCGUAAAGCGCAUGCAGGUGGUUUGUUAAGUCAGAUGUGAAAGCCCGGGGCUUAACCUCGGAAUUGCAUUUGAAACUGGCAGGCUAGAGUCUUGUAGAGGGGGGUAGGAAUUUCAGGUGUAGCGGUGAAAUGCGUAGAGAUCUGAAGGAAUACCAGUGGCGAAGGCGGCCCCCUGGACAAAGACUGACGCUCAGAUGCGAAAGCGUGGGGAGCAACAGGAUUAGAUACCCUGGUAGGAUAGCG
rnacentral:rRNA from 1 species